UCUCUGGUAGUAUAUCGGCUAGUACACGCACCUGUCAUCGAGAUUAUCUUGGAUAUCGUUGUUACUGCCCGAAAGCUGGGUUCGACUCCCAGCCAGAGAG